rnacentral:rRNA from 1 species
CCUACGGGUGGCAGCAGUGGGGAAUCUUGGGCAAUGGAGGAAACUCUGACCCAGCAACGCCGCGUGAAGGAUGAAGGUUUUCGGAUUGUAAACUUCUGUCGCGAGGGAUGAAGAAUGACGGUACCUCGUAAGAAAGCCCCGGCAAACUACGUGCCAGCAGCCGCGGUAAUACGUAGGGGGCGAGCGUUGUCCGGAAUGACUGGGCGUAAAGGGAGUGUAGGCGGCAUGUUAAGUUAUUUGUGAAAAGCCGCGGCUUAACCGCGGAAUUGCACAUAAAACAGGGAAGCUGGAGUGCAGGAGAGGGAAGUGGAAAUCCCGGUGUAGCGGGGGAAAGCGUAGAUAAAGGGAGGAAAACCAGAGGCGAAGGGGACUUACUGGACUGUAACUGACGCCGAGGCUCGAAAGCGUGGGGAGCAAACAGGAUUAGAUACCCGAGUAGUC